GAGUUUGAUCCUGGCUCAGGAUGAACGCUAGCUACAGGCUUAACACAUGCAAGUCGAGGGGAAACGAUAGAGAAAGCUUGCUUUUUCUAGGCGUCGACCGGCGCACGGGUGAGUAACGCGUAUCCAACCUGCCCACCACUUGGGGAUAACCUUGCGAAAGUAAAACUAAUACCCAAUGAUAUCUCUAGAAGACAUCUGAAGGAGAUUAAAGAUUUAUCGGUGAUGGAUGGGGAUGCGUCUGAUUAGCUUGUUGGCGGGGUAACGGCCCACCAAGGCGACGAUCAGUAGGGGUUCUGAGAGGAAGGUCCCCCACAUUGGAACUGAGACACGGUCCAAACUCCUACGGGAGGCAGCAGUGAGGAAUAUUGGUCAAUGGGCGAGAGCCUGAACCAGCCAAGUAGCGUGCAGGAUGACGGCCCUAUGGGUUGUAAACUGCUUUUAUAAGGGAAUAAAGUGAGUCUCGUGAGACUUUUUGCAUGUACCUUAUGAAUAAGGACCGGCUAAUUCCGUGCCAGCAGCCGCGGUAAUACGGAAGGUCCGGGCGUUAUCCGGAUUUAUUGGGUUUAAAGGGAGCGUAGGCCGGAGAUUAAGCGUGUUGUGAAAUGUAGAUGCUCAACAUCUGCACUGCAGCGCGAACUGGUUUCCUUGAGUACGCACAAAGUGGGCGGAAUUCGUGGUGUAGCGGUGAAAUGCUUAGAUAUCACGAAGAACUCCGAUUGCGAAGGCAGCUCACUGGAGCGCAACUGACGCUGAAGCUCGAAAGUGCGGGUAUCGAACAGGAUUAGAUACCCUGGUAGUCCGCACGGUAAACGAUGGAUGCCCGCUGUUGGUCUGAAUAGGUCAGCGGCC
rnacentral:rRNA from 1 species